rnacentral:rRNA from 1 species
UGGGGAAUUUUGGACAAUGGGGGCAACCCUGAUCCAGCAACGCCGCGUGAAUGAAGAAGGCCUUAGGGUUGUAAAGUUCUUUUAUCCAAGAGCAAAAGAUAGAUGUUAACAGCAUGUGUUACUGAGAGUAUUGGAAGAAUAAGCACCGGCUAACUACGUGCCAGCAGCCGCGGUAAUACGUAGGGUGCGAGCGUUAAUCGGAAUUACUGGGCGUAAAGGGUGCGUAGGCGGAUAUAUAAGUUAGAUGUGAAAUACCCGAGCUUAACUUGGGGACUGCAUUUAAGACUGUAUGUCUAGAGUUUGUAAGAGGGGGGUAGAAUUCCAAGUGUAGCAGUGAAAUGCGUAGAGAUUUGGAGGAAUACCGAUGGCGUAGGCAGCCCCCUGGUAUAAAACUGACGCU